rnacentral:rRNA from 1 species
GACGAACGCUGGCGGCGUGCUUAACACAUGCAAGUCGAACGGAAAGGCCCUGCUUUUGUGGGGUGCUCGAGUGGCGAACGGGUGAGUAACACGUGAGUAACCUGCCCUUGACUUUGGGAUAACUUCAGGAAACUGGGGCUAAUACCGGAUAGGAGCUCCUGCUGCAUGGUGGGGGUUGGAAAGUUUCGGCGGUUGGGGAUGGACUCGCGGCUUAUCAGCUUGUUGGUGGGGUAGUGGCUUACCAAGGCUUUGACGGGUAGCCGGCCUGAGAGGGUGACCGGCCACAUUGGGACUGAGAUACGGCCCAGACUCCUACGGGAGGCAGCAGUGGGGAAUAUUGCACAAUGGGCGGAAGCCUGAUGCAGCAACGCCGCGUGCGGGAUGGCGGCCUUCGGGUUGUAAACCGCUUUCGCCUGUGACGAAGCGUGAGUGACGGUAAUGGGUAAAGAAGCAACGGCUAACUACGUG